rnacentral:pre_miRNA from 1 species
AAAGUACUCCCUCUGUCCGGAAAUACUUGUCAGAGGAAUGGAUGUACCUAGACAUAUUUUAGUUCUAGAUACAUCCAUUUUUAUGCAUUUCUGUGACAAGUAUUUCCGGACGGAGGGAGUAGAUG